AGUAGUCUCAUUGCCUGAAACAGUACCUGGGUCCUUUUUCUCACGACCAAGGAAGUUAAGGAGCACAGACACCAAGGGUGAGGUUGUAGCGAAAGUUUAAUAAUUGAAUGAAGAAGGCUCUUUGCUGCAGAGAGGGGACCCAGAAGAGAGCCGCCGUUUUUACAGUUGAAUGCAAAGCUUCUAUAAGAAACCUAUGAGGGCUGGGCAUCUCAUUUGCAUAAGGUGCACCUUUCUGGUAGCUCCACCCUGUCCUCCUAAUGUACAUGCGGGCCCUUAGCUUGAGUUCUUCCCUAUUGCUUUGUUGCACAUGUGUCAGGGGAUGACAUUUUCCAUUGUGAGCAUGUCUGGGCAAGUCUCCUGUGUAGCCUUUCUUAUCUGUGCAGCUGUGGGCAUGUCUUCGGCAAGCCCCUCUGUGCAAGUUCCCUUAUCUGUGCCUGCAGGCUCUUCUUUAGUUUGAAAGGAUUCAGCUGAGGACCCACCCUAACUGCCUGCCUGAUGGGUUUUUUUCCUUUCUCCUCUCUCAUUCUGAGGGAUUGGCACAUGAAGAUAUGGAGGCUGAGAAGUUCCACAGUCAAUUGUCUGCAACAGCAGUCUCGGAUAUGUCUUUAUCAGCAGCGUGAAAAUGGACUAAUACAGCAGUAAAGCCAGUGAUGGCGAUCCAGCCCAAACCUGAAGGCCAGAGAGCCAGGGGAGCCAAUGGCGACAAUCUCCAUCUGAGCUGGAAGGCCUAACAAUAGGGAGUAGCAGUGUCUGAGGACAGGAGGAGAUGGAUGUCCCAGCUCAAGCGGAGAGAGAUGCCAUUCCAAGAAAACCAUGGAAGCAGAAAAGAGGAAGGCAGAAACACAGAUGAAGUAAGAAGCUAUGUCCUCUGUGCAUGGAGACAGCAGAUCUAUUAGUAGACAGGAUGAAGAGAAAAGGUGGGAAGAAAAGCCACAUGGCUGAUGUGACAAGGAAGAAAGUGAGUCUCUCAGCUCUUCUGUUCUUGUUUUUCCUCUUUUCCCAGUGCCAAGAAAUGUGUUUUUGGGGGCUGCAUUCUUCCCACCGUAAUUUAGAAGGAUGCUGUUGCCAGGUUUGAAGACCACUUGAAACAAUAAUUGUUGUUAUUCUGCUAUACUUACCAAGAAUGACAAAACUAUUUACAUGCUGGGGAUAGCAUGCUAGAAAAAUUGCUAAACAAAUUGUAUUUUUUUCCUUCUAUAAAAUCAGAGUUGCAAAGAGCAAUAUAUUAGGCAUUUUCUUUGCCAAAGAACUUUAGCUACGAUUUUCUCCUUCUUUAAAAUUCAUAUUAAUGAUCGUAGAUACCAGGUUUCUAAGGGAAAGACUCUUUGCAACAUCUUCUAUAUAUACCCUGGGUGUUUCUGUAUUGAAUUUACUUAAGAUUUAGGCUCUACAGUUUGAUCUCUAUCAUGUAAAAAUAUAUAGCAAGAAGGUUCCUGGGACAAACACUGAAAUGUUUAUUUUUAAUUUUCUCUGGGCAUUGACAUUCUGGAUGAUUUUAUGUUUUCAUACUUCUUUCUAUUUUCCAUAUAUUUUACAAUCUGUA